rnacentral:rRNA from 1 species
CCUACGGGAGGCAGCAGUGAGGAAUAUUGGUCAAUGGGCGAGAGCCUGAACCAGCCAAGUAGCGUGAAGGAUGAAGGCCCUACGGGUUGUAAACUUCUUUUAUAAAGGGAUAAAUUGAGGCACGUGUGCCUUUCUGCAUGUACUGUACGAAUAAGGACCGGCUAAUUCCGUGCCAGCAGCCGCGGUAAUACGGAGGGUCCGAGCGUUAUCCGGAUUUAUUGGGUUUAAAGGGAGCGUAGGUGGGUUGUUAAGUCAGUUGUGAAAGUGGGCGGCUCAACCGUCACACUGCAAUUGACACUGGAAGCCUUGAGUUCAGAAGAGGUAGGCGGAAUUCGUGGUGUAGCGGUGAAAUGCUUAGAUAUCACGAGGAACUCCGAUUGCGAAGGCAGCUUACUGGGCUGCCACUGACAUUGAGGCUCGAAGGUGUGGGUAGCAAACAGGAUUAGAUACCCUGGUAGUC